rnacentral:sRNA from 2 species
UAGCGCGUCAUCUGGGGAGUAGCCAGCCGUUCCGACGGAACGGGCCAUGCGUCAACAUAUUCGGCCGAGAGGUCGUGGCGUAUGGGAGGCGGAUCAUAUCCGCAU